UGUCAAUCCUCUCUCUCCUGAUCUUCUUUCUUCUUUUGAUUUUUUUGGGGCAUCUGUGGAUUUAGAAUCUGAGAGAGGGCUGCAAUAAUGGUGUUUGCUGACAGAAGAUAGAGAGCACAGAUGGGGAGAUGCAAAAUGCAAAAACAAAAAGGCAUCUCUUUCCUUUGUGCUCUCUAUUCUCCUGUCAUCACCUUAAUUUAGUUCAGCCCUCCAAUUUCUAUGCCACAUGAUAUAUAUUCCUCUUCUUCUUAUGCAUUCUCUUCCUCUUGUGGGUAUCGUAGUUUAGAUUUCAACUCUACAAUUUUAGAACUUUUUAAUCUAAGGUCCUGUGAUUUGGUUAAAUCUUUCCGAGUGUUCUUGUCGUUACUAAAUAUUAAUGGUAAUUUUAGAAGGCAUGUUUGUUUAGACGCAGGGUUAGUAAAAAAAUCAUGUUUUUUUUUUCUUUUGUCAUAUUCCACUAAAAUUUCGUCAUGGUAUCAACCAUUAUAUUCUUCGUCCUAAUUAUUUUAUGGGGCAAUACAUACAUUAUGACCUGUGUUGGUGCAGGAUUUUGUCGAGUUUCUGAAGGUCGGCCACGUGACAACGAGGACGAGCUGACGAGGUGUGACCUUAAGCAAGAGGGACCUGCAAAAGGAAGAAACACCUUGAUGUUCAAGUUAGAAGAGGUGCAGCUACGAUAAGUUGUUCUCGAAGCAGAAUUGCAUACCUGAGUCAAAAGGCAGAAUGUCUCCUUUAUAUGCAGUGGGGGGACAAGUCCGUUGUAACCGCUCCGAUCGGUGGUUAUGCAUGGCUGUCGGGCCCCUAAUUCGAUUGUUGGAUCUGAAGUCGGGACCCUCAGGUCGAUUUUGUGGGACAGGUGACCUCUAUUUUGCCAUUGUUUGGCAGAUGCGGAUCUCCUUGUGCGUAAUUGCUUGAACCUCGGGAACCGUCAGCCAUUGUAGAGAAUACAAAAGCUUUGUAUAUGCCAGUUCUCACAAACGGCACCAAAUGUUGAUGUAGGAUGAUUUUUCUCUAAGAACGACUUACCAUAGCUCGCGCCUCUUCUAACUUGAGCGUCAGAGUGUUUCUUCUUUUUGGAAGUCCCUCUUGCUUAAGGUCGCACAACAUUAGUUCAUCCUUGUUGUCACGUGGCUAACCUCUGAUAGCUCUUGACAGAAUCCUACAUCAACAACCUACUAUCAAGAAAUCUAAAGAGUUUUAUUCUAGAUAGGUGGUCACAUAGUAGUAUUUGAACCUUUCCCUCUUACACCUCCCAUAACUCUUAUCCAACCUUUUCUUUGGUUGACAUCUAUGUUUUUUUUUUUACGGUAUAAUGUGGAGUUUGAGUUAAUUUAGAUUAGGUUAGUUUUGUAAAAUUUCAAACUUUCUUCUAUAUUAAUUUGAAUAUUCGUAUUUAUUUUA